rnacentral:tRNA from 1 species
AACGUGUUAAUUUAAUGGUAAAAUGAUGUGCUACGGACACAUUUAUAUGGGUUCAAGUCCAAUACGCGUUU